GAAGUUGACUCGUGCAUAUUUACAAGCGGGGGCAUCUGUGGCCCAUAGACACAUUCUCCAUUUAUUUUAUUAUUUGUUUAUAGGCUGAUGUAAUGACAAUGAUUUCAUGGUGUUGGGAGUAAGAAUUGGAGAUCUGAUACUGCUAACAUGUUGGUUAGCAUCACAGCUUGUCCAUAGGGAUACUGGCUGGGGUAGCAUUUGGAUCUGUUUCAAGGUGUGUUCCUGCUGCUGCCUUGUGUGUUCAAUCCUGUGGACAAUAAUAAUCAUGCAAACCACAUAUAUGUUGCAUUUUUGUUUAUUAAAAUCCUUAAGUGAUAAUUCUGAAAGCCAAAUGAUUAAUUUUUUAAUGCUAUUAUUUAUUUUCCAUUUACUGUAAACUCACAAAUUUUUGUUUUUUAAUGCUGUUAUUUAUUUUCCAAUUAUUGAAAAUACACAGAUUUUUGAUAUAUUUUUUUUACUGAAAAUUGCUAC